rnacentral:rRNA from 1 species
UACGUAGGGGGCUAGCGUUGUCCGGAAUCAUUGGGCGUAAAGAGCGUGUAGGCGGUCCGGUAAGUCCGCUGUGAAAGUCGGGGGCUCAACCCUCGAAUGCCGGUGGAUACUGUCGGGCUAGAGUGCGGAAGAGGCGAGUGGAAUUCCUGGUGUAGCGGUGAAAUGCGUAGAUAUCGUAAGGAAGACCAGUGGCGAAGGCGGGUCUCUGGACAGUUCCUGGACGCUGAGGCACGAAGGCCAGGGGAGCAAACGGG